rnacentral:rRNA from 3 species
GGGUUGUGAGGUUAAGCGACUAAGCGUACACGGUGGAUGCCCUGGCAGUCAGAGGCGAUGAAGGGCGUGCUAAUCUGCGAUAAGCGCCGGUAAGGUGAUAUGAACCGUUAUAACCGGCGAUACCCGAAUGGGGAAACCCAGUGUGAUUCGUCACACUAUCAUUAACUGAAUCCAUAGGUUAAUGAGGCGAACCGGGGGAACUGAAACAUCUAAGUACCCCGAGGAAAAGAAAUCAACCGAGAUUCCCCCAGUAGCGGCGAGCGAACGGGGAGGAGCCCAGAGCCUGAAUCAGCAUGUGUGUUAGUGGAAGCGUCUGGAAAGGCGCGCGAUACAGGGUGACAGCCCCGUACACAAAAGCGUAUGUGCUGUGAGCUCGAUGAGUAGGGCGGGACACGUGGUAUCCUGUCUGAAUAUGGGGGGACCAUCCUCCAAGGCUAAAUACUCCUGACUGACCGAUAGUGAACCAGUACCGUGAGGGAAAGGCGAAAAGAACCCCGGCGAGGGGAGUGAAAAAGAACCUGAAACCGUGUACGUACAAGCAGUGGGAGCACCCUUUGGGGUGUGACUGCGUACCUUUUGUAUAAUGGGUCAGCGACUUAUAUUCUGUAGCAAGGUUAACCGAAUAGGGGAGCCGGAGGGAAACCGAGUCUUAAUUGGGCGUUAAGUUGCAGGGUAUAGACCCGAAACCCGGUGAUCUAGCCAUGGGCAGGUUGAAGGUUGGGUAACACUAACUGGAGGACCGAACCGACUAAUGUUGAAAAAUUAGCGGAUGACCUGUGGCUGGGGGUGAAAGGCCAAUCAAACCGGGAGAUAGCUGGUUCUCCCCGAAAGCUAUUUAGGUAGCGCCUCGUGAAUUCAUCUCCGGGGGUAGAGCACUGUUUCGGCUAGGGGGUCAUCCCG